rnacentral:rRNA from 1 species
UACAGAGGCCUCGAGCGUUAGGCGGAAUCACUGGGCUUAAAGCGUGUGUAGGCGGAUUGGUAAGUACCUUGUGAAAUCCCACAGCUUAACUGUGGAACUGCUCGGUAUACUGCUGAUCUUGAGCCACUCAGGGGCUACCGGAACAAAUGGUGGAGCGGUGAAAUGCGUAGAUAUCCACAGGAACUCCGGUGGCGAAGGCGGCACGCUGGACCCUCCCUGACGCUGAGGCGCGAAAGCCAGGGGAGCGAACGGG